CUGAUCUGAGUGAGGCCCUAUCUCUCCUGGCUACUGACACCUUGUCUUCUGAUGCACUGGCCUCCCAGAAGCUGGGCCUGCUGACCUCUGUCUAAAGGACCUGGUUCAUCAUUCCUGCUUAGAUGCCCAACCCUUCCCUGCCUGAGAACUUCCUCCCUGAGAAGUCCAGCCCUGUCUCUCUCUCUCUAGAACUUCAUCAACUGCCCUGGCCUGUUGUAGUUCACUACCUGGUCUGGAUCCUUCAGAACUAUCUCUUGAUUUACUCCAAAGACUGACUCCUCUGUGAC
rnacentral:lncRNA from 1 species